GUACGCAAAUAAUCACUGUCGCAAAGGUAAUGGUUUAUCAACGUUAGACAUUAGCUGCUUUUUCAACGAAUUUCAACUAUUUGAAAAACAACACUUAUUCAACGUUAUUUCAACGUUGGUUGAAAAUGUGCUAAUUAAAAAACGUUGAAAAAGUGUUACUUUGCCAACGUUAAUAAAACGUUGUUUUGACAAUGUUGAGGAAGUGGCACAUUGAAAAUUAUUGUCUCAAUAACUAGCCAUAACAAAAAUAAUUUGCCGUAAUGGAAAGGCAAAGAAAACUUGAUAGAAUGCAUGCAUAUGAUAAAGAGGUAUGUGCAGGAUUUAAUUUCAUGACUAAAGAGGACUCUGAAGAAGAAUGUAAGUAAUUAUGUUUGUGAAUAAUUUUGUUUCUCUUCGGAUUUAACUUUUCUUUGUUUUUUAUAUUAACUAUUGGUCAAAGAUGAUUUCAAUAAUACUGUCUAAAUUUUUUGGUUUUAACUGGAAUGAUUUGGUUUUAACUGGUUUGCAUCUUAUGAACGAAGUACAUAAUAUGAUUUAAAUUGAUGAUUUAUAGUUACACCUAUUGAAAUUCUGUAUCUCAAUAAUAUCCUGGCUUAUCGAUACGAUAUCCUGUAAAUCCACUCACACACAAAUUUUACUCACAUACGUAAAUCCUGUAAAUUCACUCACACACAUAAAUCUUAAAAAAGAUGUUUAUAUUUUUAUCAAUGAAUUGUAAAUUUUAUAUAAAUAAAUUGUAUAUUUUUUAUGUUUUUCAUUGUAUAUUACUAUUUGUAUUAAAAAUCGA